rnacentral:rRNA from 1 species
AAAGAAGACCCUGUUGAGCUUGACUCUAGUCUGACUUUGUGAAGAGACAUGAGAGGUGUAGCAUAAGUGGGAGCCUUGGGAUCAAUCUUGAUUAUUGCUUCGGCUUUAGUUGAGACCCCUUGGCGAUCAUGAAAUACCACUACUCUCAUCGUUUCUUUACUUACACGGUAAAAAGGAAGUUGGGAUAGUGCCUCUCUCUCUCAUGGAUUUCGGUUCAUGUUGAGGAGGCCACCUAUCUCUAAAUUCUAGAGCAAAAUGUGGUUCCAUCCAUACAUGCCUCAAGACCCCUAGUUGAGUUUUGUUCUUCUUUUCGGAGAAGGCUGAACUUACUAAAGACUUGGGUUUGGUUGGUAACCCGUGUAAGUUGGUCAGUGCUUGCACUACCAUACAUUACACAAACCGCAUGAUCCUCGCCGUGGACAUUGUCAGGCGGGGCGUUUGACUGGGGCGGUACAUCUGUCAAAAGGUAACGCAGGUGUCCUAAGGCCAGCUCAGUGAGGCCAGAAACCUCACGUAGAGCAAAAGGGCAAAAGCUGGCUUGAUCCAGACUUUCAGUACGAAUACGGACCGCGAAAGCGGGGCCUAUCGAUCCUUUCGAUGAAUGAGAGUUUCAUCCGAGAGGUGUCAGAAAAGUUACCACAGGGAUAACUGGCUUGUGGCAGCCAAGCGUUCAUAGCGACGUUGCUUUUUGAUCCUUCGAUGUCG